rfam:Schistosoma mansoni, Puerto Rico, WGS project CABG01000000 data, contig: 0350
ACUUAGCCGAGGAGUCCCACAAUAGAACGAAACGGCCGUCCAUAGU